ensembl:lncRNA
CAAAAGAUACAUUGAAGUCCCAGUCCCUUGUUCCUGUGAAUGUGAUUUCAUUCAAUAGAAACAUUUGUUUAAGAUAUAAUUCAGUUAAGAUGAGGUUAUUAUGGUGGGCUCUAGUCUAAAAUGACUGGAAUCCUUACAAGAAGAGCAAAGCAUCAUGUGGAGACAGAUACACAGGGGUGACACCAUGUGACGACACAGGCAGAGACUACAGUGAUGCCGGUACAAGCCAAGGAAUGUGAGGGAUCGUUGGCCACCAUCAGGAAUGAGGAAAAGGAAAGACUUCUGGUACAACUUUGAAAAGGAGUGGAGAGAGGAGAUAUCUUUGUGUUGUUUCUGAUCUGAAUGGAAAAACUUCUCCACAGGUGAAAAAGGAAACAAUGUGUUAAAGAACUGUAGUGGGAGGAAGCUAGAAAACUCUAUACCUGUGUGUCCUACUGUCCCUGUUUUGACAACGAGACUGGCUUUGUGUGCCACUGCAAUGGGCCAAACUGUGUCCCACUAAAAUUCAUAUGUUAAAGCCCUAACCCCUCACGUGACUGUACUGGAGAAAGGGCCUCUAAGAAGACAUAUAAGGCUAAAGGAAAUCAUAAGGGGAAGCCCUGAUCCCAAAGAACUGGUAUCCUUAUAAAAGGGGAGAGACACCAGAGAUCUCUCUCUCUCUCCACCAUGUAUGGACACAAAGAAGCAUGGCUGUCUGCAAGCCAGGACAAAAGCUCUCACCUGGAAUGAAACCCUGCUAGAACACUGAUCUUGGACUUCGCAGAGCUGUGAGACAUAAUUCUUUUGUUUGUUUAAGCCACCCAGUCUAUGUUAUUUUGUUAUGGCAGCCUGAGACAACUUAGACAAUCACUGAAUAGAUGCCAGGAAAAGGAGGGUUACAUAGUAUGAACAGCUUGAGAAAACCUGUUCUAAGACAAAAUUACCUUCAUGAAAAUAUAUUGUAUCUGAG